GAAUGCGAUAGUUAAUGGAUGUUUUGAUAUUUAGAUUGCGAGUUGAAUGCCGUUGGAUCACUAGAAAGAAAAUAGUUGAUUGCCACCGAGACUACCAUUUAGUGACCCAAGUGCCGACUGUUGACAGAAGUCAUUCAUCUCAGAGCUACCGACCGGCCUAAAAGAGAGGAAGAAAGCCAUCAGGAAAUUCAUCUAGAGUGAAGGAGAAACUUUUAAUCUUUGAGUAAAUUUUAUAUUGAACUACAAGGAUUCGUUUUUGCCUGAGCCUGAGAAUUCCGAGAGCAACAAACUGUUUUCCAUUUU